rnacentral:rRNA from 1 species
UACGGAGGGAGCUAGCGUUGUCCGGAAUCAUUGGGCGUAAAGCGCGCGUAGGUGGCCCCGUAAGUCCGCUGUGAAAGUCAAAGGCUCAACCUUUGAAAGCCGGUGGAUACUGUGGGACUAGAGUACGGAAGAGGCGAGUGGAAUUCCUGGUGUAGCGGUGGAAUGCGUAGAUAUUGGAAAGACCACCAAUGGCGAAGGCACUCUACUGGGCCAUUACUGACACUGAGAGACGAAAGCUAGGGGAGCAAAUGGG